GCUUACUGGAAAGUUGAUUUGACCUAAGU
rnacentral:sRNA from 1 species